rnacentral:rRNA from 1 species
UACGUAGGGGGCAAGCGUUGUCCGGAUUCAUUGGGCGUAAAGAGCGUGUAGGCGGCCAAGCAGGUCAGCUGUGAAAACUCGAGGCUCAACCUCGAGACGUCGGUUGAAACCGCUUGGCUAGAGUCCGGAAGAGGAGAGUGGAAUUCCCGGUGUAGCGGUGAAAUGCGCAGAUAUCGGGAAGAACACCCGUGGCGAAGGCGGCUCUCUGGGACGGUACUGACGCUGAGACGCGAAAGCGUGGGGAGCGAACAGG